UCUUCCUGAUCCGGUGAGUACUCCUCGCCUUCUUCGGCUUGCGGUACCCACUGGGAGGGGAGACAUGUUUACAUGUUCUCACCUCCCCCACCAUUUUUCAGGUAUCGUGGGCGAUGAGUAGUGGGACGAGACGUGAGGUACGCGUGUAGCGGUCGAUAGAGCUUUCGACCCGGGUUAAUUCGGUUUACUUUCUUACCCUUCUUAUUUUGGCUGAUGAAUAGUUUAGUUGGUUUAUGUGGUUCAGUGUUUAUUUACAUUUGAAAAUGUGGAUUUCUGGAUUUUGUAAAAUAAAAGGUUUUCUACCCCUCGUGGUAGCGUUUUUAAAAGAAUAAAGGAUUCUGUGUAGGAAACAGCUUUCAAAAGAUUUUUGUGGAUUUCUGAUUAAACCUUGAAUGUAAAACUGUGAUGUGAAUGGUGAUUGUAUGAAUGUAUAGUUAUCCUUAUAUUCAUCUGGUUGUGGUUGUAUCCUGGUUGUUUUGUGUAUUUGAUCGACGCCGUGCAAAUACAGGGGAGACUCUGUCCGUGUGAAUAGUGGAUUCCCUGUAUUUGUGGCGGAUCUGGCAUACCCUGGGGUCAGGUUUUCAAAAAAAAAAUUCAGACGCUUUUCCGCUUUGUUUUAAACUGAAAAGGGACCCCGGGGCGUGACAGAUUAAAGUGGUAUCAGAGCGAGGUUACAACCACAACACCAUUCACAGGUUAUUUUUGAAAAGUAAAUGAAACUGAACCAUUGGUUAGGUUGACCAAUAGGAAGACCACGGUGUAUAGGCACGUGA
rnacentral:lncRNA from 1 species